rnacentral:lncRNA from 1 species
CUUUUGGAUCCUAUUCAACUCAGUACAUAACACCUUUGCUGCCAUUUUUCUCGCCUGGCCUUUCUGAUUUGCGUAUUCCUAGCAAAUCCACCAUUGCACGCGGAACGCAAGGAUGUCACAAUACUGCAUAACCAAUCACAAUCGGUUAUGCUGUCAAGGGAGGGAAAUGAAACCACAUUGCUUUUAGGGAAAUGGAGGGGAUACAUUCCUGUUUCAAGGCAGUCACAGCAACACUCCUUGUUCUCUUGUACUGAAAUGAAACUGCCUUGAUGGGACCUGAGUGUUUGACCAUCUCGCUGUCCAACUCAGGCUCACAUGCCUCCUCGGUUGGUGGGGCAGACAUGCUAUCCUGAAGUGGGGCGAUAGAGGCCUCAUUUGAUGUUCCCACCUUAGCUGGGACAUCUGGAAGUAGCUGGGAAGAAGGGUUGCCAUACAUUCAGAAUUUCCCAGACAUAGCCAGAAUACUGCAGUUGGAAGCAAUGUCCAGGCGGAAAUCGCUAAAAAUGUCUGGGGAAAUCCGGACGUAUUCAGUGUCGCUUUUGGUGAUUGUCCUUAAAAGUAGCUCCAAAAUGUUAAUUUUUAAGGAAGUCUUUUAAUCACAUUGGCCUGCGAUUCUUUGGGGCUUUAUAUACUAAUAGUUCCAAGUUGAAUCCCAGAAUGUUCAGAUUACCACUGGGUUUUGGAUGUUUGCAUUGUUUCCACCCCAGCCAAUUUCCCUCACAACACAGUACAGCUGCAUGCUACCAUCAUUCUCUGCCAUGAAAGCUCCUCCUGUUGUAAUUUUGGCUGCUUUUAUUGUGCGGCUGCUUUUAGAAAUCUACUUGUGGAGCUUUCUUUAUACAGGACAGCCUCUUAACUUGUGUCCGGCACCUUUUCCAUCUUCCUCUCCUGGCAUAUCCUGCCAAGAUUUCCCCAGGUCGUCGUCGUCGUCUUCUUCUUCUUCUUCUUCUUCUUCUUCUUUGUCUUCUUCUCUCAUCUUUUUAAAUUCAGUGGGGCUUAUUUCAUAGUAAGUACACCAGGCUUGGUUAAAUGUAGCUUGCUGAUAAUUUAAAUGUAAGCCAUCACCAAUAUUUCAUUUUCAAUCCAAACUGAUUUGCUUAAAUAAGCAAUCACGGCCCAAACAUUUGCUUCUCAUCAAGUGAGGCUGAUCUGUUGUAAUCUAAUUACUGUGUCAGAAAACUGACAAGCAAUUUAACCAACAAUGAAAAUACACUGUAAAUAACACACAUAUGGAAUGCAUCCAGGAUGUUUGAUAUCAGAUCAGUAAUUCAUACUACAUAAACCGCAUCUUAGCAAAUAAUAUUUGAAAAUGAGUGGUUUCAACGUGGUAAUAGUAACAGCCUGAUGGCAAGGACCUGUUCCGCUAGCAUGUAUGUGCCAGGACAGAUUGUGUUGGCCAUUGCAAAUUGAAAAUGUAGUCACUAUUUCACUAGUUUUACAAAAAAUGGACUCUCCAAAUAAAGCCAAUAUACAAAUAUUCCUGCACAAUUAUUUAGGUUUAGGGUUACAUAUUAGACCUUUCUAUGCAUUACUUGCAUGUAGGGAGUAAAUAUGUAGGGUGAGGAGUGGGGCUGGUACUUUUGGUUCAGUCCCCAAUGUAUUUUUCUCUCACCAUUUGCAUAUUGCACUUGGUUGCAUGAGAAGAAAGGUACCUUCCAGCUUAAUCAGAUACCCCAGUCAUACACACUUUAUUGGGGUUGCCAUAUUUUGAAAAGUUGUGUUGAGGUGUUGUGUUGUUGUUGUUGUUGUUGUUGUUUUUAAAACGUUGUUGAGCUUUUUUUUAAUGGCAAAUUCGCCAAGAAAAAGAAAACGUUUUUGAGCUAUUUUUCAGGAAAAUCGGCAAAAACAAUAUGGCCGACAUGGGUUGACAUUUUUUUGGUGCGGAUUUCCACCUGGACACUGAUUCCGUGUAUGUCCGGGAAAUUCCAAAUCUACGGCAACCCUAGUUUUCUUUUCUUUUCACGCAGCAGCGUACAUCAAGUGGUUCGUGGAAGAAAAAUAUGCAGGGCAGAGUCUGAAUACCAGCUGUAGGGAAUCACAAAGGGGAGGGUGCUAUUGCCCCAAUAUCCUGCAUGUUCUUCUGUUUUUAUGUUCUACAAGCAUGACCCUUCUCAGUCUGCUCAAAAGCUCUGGAGCCAACUGAGGAUUCCCAGGUAAGAUCCUCCCUCUAUUGUGUGGGUAGAUAGUCCCUCCCCCUACCUGGCCUGGUCACCUUGGCAACGCUUCCCCAGGCGGGAUUGGGCAAGUGACUGAGGUAGGCGGAGACCUUCAGGUAUCCCACCUGGGGGAAGGUGAAGCCAAGCCUGUGCUAAUGGGGCCGCAUAGGGUCCAGGGGCUACACGCAACCACGCAAAGGGCGCCCCCCAUUUAAUGUGGGGAGCGGUCAUUAUGUUCUACAAGUAUGACCCUACUCAGUCUGCUCAAAAAGGCCCGCUCUUGUACCUGUAUAUAAUAGAGGGGAGGGGGAAUAAGAACAGCAGGGCAGCUAGAGAUGGACCUCUCCCACAGAUCAGGCCUCCCCAAAUAACCACUCAGAGAGUGGCAGAUGAUGAUUGGAGCACAGCAGACAGGUCUCCGGACCUGGGCCAGCAUGGAAGCGAUGCCAUGGGACAGUCUAGAUCACAAACACAUAGCUCCUAAAACUCUUUUUUAUUAUUUCUUUAGCCCUCAGACUUCUUUCUUAGCAGUUUACAGUACCUCAGGUUAAGUAUUUAAUUCGUUCCGGAGGUCUGUUCUUAACCUGAAACUGUUCUUAACCUGAAGCACCACUUUAGCUAAUGGGGCCUCCUGCUGCUGCUGCUGCACUGCCGGAGCCCGAUUUCUGUUCUUAUCCUGAAGCAAAGUUCUUAACCUGAAGCACUAUUUCAGGGUUAGCGGAGUGUGUAACCUGAAGCGUAUGUAACCUGAAGCAUAUGUAACCCGAGGUACCACUGUACUGUAACUCCUGAAACGCAUUCCAUUCUGCACAUGGAUAACUCCGGCAGUUAGCUGUAGUUACUGGUUAGCUAGCUCCUCACUCACUUGUUGAUUUUCUUUAUGGCCGCAUUACACCCAUGGACCUGAGGCUUUCCCCCACCCUAGACCAUAUUCCCUGCCCCACACCAGCUCAUUGCCCACCCUAACUGGCUUAAUUCUGCUCCCUCCACUAUUCUUCCAGCAGUCGUGGUUGGUUGUCAUAACCCGAAUUCACCAUUCCUACUUCAUCAAUCUACUUUCCUUCUGUGGUGGCUAUGGAAGAAGUGAAGAUGCUUCUUCAACGGCCAUAGCAAAAGUCAGUCAGGCUGGCAAAGUAGUGACAAAGCGUUUUGCUUCGGCAGCCUUCUUGCCUAACAUGAGAGAGCCCCUUUCUCACUAUGCAGGAUGAAAAUGAAGAGAGGUUUGUGUGUGUUUAUGAGGUUUAUGAGGAGAGUCUGCAAAGCAUGCUAUGGCAUGACUCAUUUGCAUCAUAUUGUGCUGGUGGGUGAAUUCUGUCACCCUGCAGUGUGGACAGGAAUAGGUAAAGGUAAAGGGACCCCUGACCAUUAGGCCCAGUCGUGACUGACCCUGGGGUUGCAGCGCUCGUCUUGCUUUAUUGGCCGAGGGAGCCGGCGUACAGCUUCCGGGUCAUGUGGUCAGCAUGACUAAGCCACUUCAGAGCAGCUCACAGAAACGCCGUUUACCUUCCCACCUAUUUAUCUACUUGCACUUUGACGUGCUUUCGAACUGCUAGGUUGGCAAGAGCAGGGACCGAGCAACGGGAGCUCACUCCGUCGCGGGGAUUCGAACCGCCGACCUUUUGAUCGGCAAGCCCUAGGCUCUGUGGUUUAACCCACAGCACCACCCGCGUCCCUAUGUGGACAGGAAUAGCCAGAGCUUAUUUCAUUGUAUGCCAUCAUGUGUAUGAGACAUUUCCCCUACAAGUCAAGGGACAACGGGCCUUGCGAGUGGAUUAUGCAAGGGGAACAUCUUAAAUUGGUCAGACAAAUCUCUUUCUAAACUACAUGAAUAGAUAGAAUUUGCAGGUCCCUUAUAUGCGUGUGUUAAAUGUAACUUAUUUCAUGCAUUCCAGUUUAAGAGCACAUUCUUUGAUAUGCUAAUGUGGAUUUGAAAGUGUCAUAACUUCCCUUUUAAUAAUACGUUCCGUGAUAGUGAUGCAAACUGUAAUUAUAUAUCAUGGGCUCAAGCCUAGCAUCUACUUAUAUGUGUGUCAAGUGCAUUUAUUUCUAAAUAUAUAAUUGUGUCAAGUACUUAGAAUAGUAGGCAAAAAUAAGGGGGAAAGCAAGGGGAAAUCUCCUAAGGCAGACUGCGAUCUACUCCCACUAUUAACAAACUGGCAGGGAUCUACCCACUGGAUUGACCAAAGUUGUUGAUCAGUGGUUAGCCCCGCGAUUGACCAGAGUAGAUUGCUGUUAUGUACUGAGUUGAAUAGGAUCCAAAAUGCAGCAGUCUGAUUGGUCCUAGAACAAUAGGAUCCAAAAUGCAGCAAUCUGAUUGGUCCUAGAACAAUAGGAUCCAAAAUGCAGCAGUCUGAUUGGUCUGCAGGAGCCACCCAAUCCAGCUCCAGAUGGAAGUGAAUCCACAACCUGUUUGGCCUACAGGAGAGUUCCGGAAAUAGCCAAUCACGUGCAGCCCAUUGUGUAAAUAAUGUAUAUAAAGCAGAUACUUUGGGGAAACUUUCAUUCCUCCUCACCACUAUGAGCUGAAUAAAGAGCAUGAAAUCCACUCUCGACUCCAAGUAUAUUUCAGUUGCGAUCGACCAGUUGGACAUGCCUGCCCUAAGGCGUAUGAGAAUGCAAGGAAAACCCCAGGAAAGAACAUAUGGACUAGAGAAUUUGAUGAUAAAAUGGCAUGCCAUAUAAUAGCUUUUAAGGAGGGGGGCAUUGCAAUGACCUCAGUGGGGUGAAUGAAGAGGUUGCAGAGAAUUACAGCCAUCAACUGCAUUCAGACAUCACAAAUCAUGGGCGUAGCCAAGAUUUAUUUUAGGGGGGCAGGCCCAAGUUAUCUGUAAUGCAAUUGGUCAGUUAGUUAAGAAUUCCCCCCCCAUUUAUUUAUUUAUUAUUAAUGUUGCAAUACAUACAGUGGUACCUCGGGUUACAUACGCUUCAGGUUACAUACGCUUCAGGUUACAGACUCCGCUAACCCAGAAAUAGUGCUUCAGGUUAAGAACUUUGCUUCAGGAUAAGAACAGAAAUCGUGCUCCUGCGGCACGGCAGCAGCAGGAGGCCCCAUUAGCUAAAGUGAUGCUUCGGGUUAAGAACAGUUUCAGGUUAAGAACGGACCUCUGAAACGAAUUAAGUACUUAACCCGAGGUACCACUGUAUAUGGAAUCUUUACAUACAUUACUUUUCUGUGGCGAUCACACAGGGUCCCUGGACGUUUCAGCGUCUGUUGAUCCCUGUGCCACCACUUUAUUUCUCGCUGCCGCCACCCAGGCCCUACCUGGUACAAUACUGAGUCCAGUCAGGGUUAAAUUGGAACAUAAACUUCUGUUUAUUUAUUGCAGUUUAACAAGCGUGUGGUUUCAUAAACAGUAUCGGUCCAUUACAAUCAUGGGGUGCCUAUCCAGACCUAUAACUUCUGCUAAAUCACUCACUAAACCACCUCUCAGAUUUUUACUUGUGUUCCUGACUCAGCUUAUUUCGCUACACUAACUCAACCUACCUACAGAAUACAUUAUAUUCAUAAAUUCACAUUUUCACAUUUCAUUAUGUACCAACAUUUAUCCAUUUCUUAUUUCUUGCCCUGUGUCUUCCCUCCACCCAUGCGUGACUUCCUUGUUAUUAUUUUGUUAAGAAUUUUUAUUAUGUUACGGUAAAAUCUGGGUGCGGGGCUACUCUGCCACCCAGCUCGUCGGACUAAGUCCACGGGUCCCUGCGGAAGAAAAAUGAGCUCAGCCGGAGACAGGAGCAAACUGCAGAAGAUCCAAGUUUAUUGCGCAACAGGUUCAAGGCGAGAUUGAACAGCGAGAAAGGGGUGACAUGAACUUUUGAAAUUUCCCUCCAUGUCCCAGAAUACAGUGCAAAAUACAUCCCAGUUACAUCAUGAAUAUAUUAAGAAGAGGUUGGGUUACACAGAUUACAUCACGAAUACAUUAGGAAGAGGUUGGGUUACACCGGAUUAACAUAUGGAGGAGGGAGGGGGGAAUAUGCAGAGCUGGAGAUAUGCGCAGAUAAGCACAUCCUGAGAAGACAAUGGUCCAUGUAUGCAUAGUCUGUCACCUGGCAUCGCCCGGAGGAAAGGCUUGGCAGAGCGAUUUGACAGGAUUAGGGUCUUGACACCUUGCUUGAGGGAUUAUGGAGGACAGGGGAGGUGUCAUGGAGUCCUAGAGAAAUUGAGCAAAUUGGCACGUUGAUUUUCUAUGAAUUUUAUAGAUUUUAGUCCCUUUUGACAUUGACAAUUGGAAAUAAAUGGAUAUAUUGUAGCGAAGAAGGAGGUGAAGCAGACAUGCCCCCCCUUCCGUAUCAAUUAAUUUACUUGAUGGGGGGGCAGUUGACCGCCUGCAUCCCCCUGGCUAAGCCCAUGUUACAAGCCAUAGUUUAUCAUGACAAAAAUGAGCCUGGGGUUGUGUGCUCCCACCCUCUCCUCUGGCACAGCCAUGAUGAGGCGUUUGCAUGUUUUUGCUUCUUCCACUUUUGAUUAAUCUCAGUUAGCAUGGUAUCUGAACCCUAGACCUGGACAUUUUGCUUGCACUCUGGACACUGUCUGUUUCCCCUGAAGUCCUACAGAACUUGACUGCGGGGAAACAUCUAUUCAGCUAGAUGGAUCAAAAGGGUAAAGGAGUAUUGGGAAAUGAUAUCUAAUGAAUUGGGUAAAAAUAUUUUAAAAGUACUUUUCCAAAAAACCCCCAAAGUCUUUUUUGUUGGGGAUAAUUCAGAGGGAAAUUCCCAGGUGUCAAAAGAGACUAUUUAUGUAUGCUACUACGGCGGCCCGUGUUUUGUUAGCCCCAAAAUCGAAAACGAGCGAGGUUCCAACCAAAGAAGAAUGGCAACUUAAACAGAUGGAAUACGCGCAGCUUGAAGAUUUAACAUAUAGAACAAGAGAACAAGAAGAAAGUACGUUUAAAGAAGACUGGAAAAUGUUUACUGAAUAUAUAGGUGAAAAUAGUGUUCAUUUAAAAAUGCUGGUAGCAUUAAGAUAAAUUCAACAGUGUAAAUAAGUUUUGAUGGAUGUAAUAAUGGAACACUGAACAGUUUAGUUCAUGUAAAAUAGGCAGGGAUGUAUGGUAUGCAAAAUGAACCAAGGAAAAGAGAAGAAGGGAAGUCAUUGAUUUAAGGUUGUUUAAAUGAGUAUUUUGAAACGGAAAUGAUAAAAUUUAAUAAAAAUUAUGUAUAUAUGGGAUGCGGGUGGCACUGUGGGUUAAACCACAGAGCCUAGGACCUGCCGAUCAGAAGGUCGGCGGUUCGAAUCCCCGCGACGGAGUGAGCUCCCUUUGCUUGGUCCAUGCCCCAAACCUAGCAGUUUGAAAGCACAUCAGAGUGCAAGUAGAUAAAUAGGUACCACUCCAGUGGGAAGGUAAAUGGCAUUUACGUGUGCUGUUCUGGUUCACCAGAAGUGGCUUAGCCAUGCUGGCCACAUGACCCAGAAGCUGUACACCGGCUCCCUCGGCCAGUUCAUCUUGCUUUCAGGCCGAGGGAGCCAGUGUUUGUCCAUAGUCCAUGUAGCCAGCAUGACUAAACUGCUUCUGGUGCAAUGGAACAGCAUGGUGAAAACCAGAGCGCACGGAAACUCUAUUUACCUUCCCGCCACAGCGGUACCUAUUUAUCUACUUGCACCGGUGUGCUUUCGAACUGCUAAAUUGGCAGGAGCUGGGACAGAGCAAUGGGAGCAUAGCUGUCAACUUUUCCCUUUUCUUGCGAGGAAUCCUAUUUGGAAUAAAGGAAUUUCCCUUAAAAAAAGGGAAACGUUGACAGCUAUGAAUGGGAGCUCUCUCCGUCAUGGGGAUUCAAACUGCCGACCUUCCGAUCGGCCGGCCCAAAUGGCUCAGUGGUUUAGACCACAGUGCCACCCAUGUCCUAUGUUGGCAACAUAGGACUGUAUGGCGCUACAUAUGGGGAUCACUUUAUCUUCUCAGUGUCAUCUGCUAUCAGGAAGCUCCCUUACUUUGUGUGAUAGAGAAAGGUGAGGGCCUAAGACACUCUUUUUAUUACACUUAGCAGAGUCAUGUAUCCCAUAAUGGUAUUAUAAACAAGAGAGAUUCAGGAGUGUAUUGCAUACUGCGCGCUCAUGAGCGGCAGUUGCCAGUACAGCAACACCUCCCAAAUGAAAAAGGCUUCAGUAUGUGGAAUGUACCCAGAGCACUACAGUCUCCCGAGACAACUAGCAAAGACAGGGUUAACUACUUUUGACAAACUCCGCUGAAAAAUACUGGCAUGAGACUUGCAAGCAGCUACAAGGAAACGUAAACAUAAGCUGAAGAUGAUGAAAACUAAUUAGCUAAGUCUUCUGGAAUCAAAUCUUAACAUGAUGUGAUUAUAUAUCAAGAGGAAAAACACAAUGUUUAGACUGCAUGUAAUUUCAGUAAUAUGGUAAUGAAGCACAGUGCAUAAUUUCUGACCCAACUAAUCCCGCAGGCUUUUGAAAUUUCUGUUUUUGACAACAAAUCAUUGGUAGCGUUCCAGCAGUCGGUGACAAUAUUGUAAUGGAUACCAAGAGACCAGUUAAGUAUUGAAAUGUGAAUGAAAAUCUCCAGCAUUUGUUAAAUAGAAAACAAAAACACUUCUGUUUCUGCCAGCCUGGAGAAAUUGCAAGCAGGCUGGCAGUUUCAAAGCUCCCAAGAUCAGAGACUCUGAACGCUAGUUGAUGUGGAUCAUGAGCAGGAGAGGUCUAUUCUGGUCCUAUCCUGCUUCUGGGCUUCCCAGAGGAAGCCAGUUCACCACUGUGGAAAAGAAGUUGCCUCUUGAACUAGUGGAGUUUUCCUGAGCACAAUUCAAAAUGUUUUUGCUGACCUUUAAAGCCCUAAAUGGCCUCGGCCCAGUAUACCUGAAGGAGCAUCUCCAGCCCCAUCAUUCAGCCCGGACACUGAGGUCCAGCUCCGAGGGCCUUCUGGUGGUUCCCUCAUUGCGAGAAGUGAGGUUACAGGGAACCAGGCAGAGGGCCUUCUCGGUAGAGGCGCCCGCCCUGUGGAACGCCCUCCAUCAGAUGUCAAGGAAAUAAUCAACUAUCUCACUUUUAGAAGACAUCUGAAGGCAGCCCUGUUUAGGAAAGUUUUUAAUGUUUGAUGGUUUAUUGCUUUUUUAUUAAUAUUCUGUUGGGAGCCACCCAGAGAGGCUGCGGAAACCCAGCCGUAUGGGUGGGGUAUAAAUUAUUAUUAUUAUUAUUAUUAUUAUUAUUAUUAUUAUUCAUUGUUCAAACUAAUUGUAUUGACACAGAACACCUACAUGCAAAAUAUUGUUUUUGAACAUUAGGAAGACGUGUGAAAAUAAGUACAGGGGAGAUAUUUUACAUCCCAUUGGCUUAUCUGCUACAUUUGCAAAACAAGUGAAUAAAAUGCUUUAAAACCUGGGGAAUAAAGACCUUCAGGAACAAGAAUAAAACAAAGUUCUGAGACCCUAGUGGACGUAAGUGGAAAGAGGAAAUGAUUAGCCAUAUUUAGAUAUUUGAAGUCACCUAGAUGAAGGAGCAGAUCUGUUUUCUGUUGCUCCCGGGGGGUAGGACCCAAACCAAUUGGUUGAAAUGAUAAGAAAGGGGAUUUUGACAACACUACCAUCUGCAGUUUUGCAAGGUAGGCUCUCGAAAAUCCCAGACAAAACAGGUUGAAUCCAUCACACAUGUCUUAUUUUAUUGCCCAUUUUAUGCAAAAAAUAUGUUAUAAAUAUUUGGUUCCCUUAUUGAAGGAGGGGAUUUAUCGCACUGACUCAGGGUGUCUUAUCUGCUGAACAAUUGUAGUAAUGUAAUGACGUUGUGGAGAACGUGGCAAGAUUUUUGAGUGGCACCAUGAAAUUACAUCACCAUCGGUCCUAAGAGCCAUUUUUGUAUCUCACGAUGUCUGGACAGUUUUAUCUUAAAGUAUCUCCUACUAUGUUUUGUUAACUGUGUUGUGUUCUGAUCCAUGUAUACGAUAGACAUUUUUAUGCCAAUAAAGGAGAUUGAUUGAUUGAUUGAUUGAUUGACUACACAUAGGAACAUCAGAAGCUGCCUUAUAUCUUCUUCUUCUUUGGUGAUUGCUCGUAGCCGAGUAAGAUUGUCUUCCAUAAACACAGUUUUAACAGUGAGUCCGUAAGUGACUGUGGAGGCCAAUUCUGGAUCCACACGUCCUUCCACAGUGGGGACAUAGGUUUCCGGGUGGGAGUUGAUCACAGUGAGGGUCUGCCAAAGGUGCCUUCCUCUUAGCUCAUUUCUCCCUUUCAUCCUGAGUUCGCGCUUCUUCAGUAAAGGCUGUUCUCCAAUUGGAGCGCUCGCAGACCAGUAUUUCCCAAUUAUCUGUGCUUACACUGCAUUUUUAAAGAUUUGCUUUAAACCUCUUUUGUUGCCCACCGGUAUUUCGCUUUUCAUUCUUAAGUUAGGAAUAGAGUAGUUGCUUUGGAAGACGAUAAUCAGGCAUCUGAAGCACAUGAACAGUGCAGUGAAGUUGAUGCUGAAGAAUCAUUGCUUCAAAGCUGUCCAGCUAGCUGAGCACUGGUCCAGCUAGCUCAAUGCAGCCUACACUGGCUGGCAGUGGUCAUUGGCGGAGCUUCAUGCUCCGGCACCGGGGGGGGGGGCGGAGAGCAGGCGGGGCUGGUGCAUAUCCUGGGGGCGUGACGCGCCACCUUCAGGGAUGUGAUGCGGGUCCUGGGGGCAUGGCACGCCACAUACGGGGGCGUGGCGCCCAGCACGGGAUUCCUCCGCCAGUGGCAGAGGUCCUCCUAGGGGGUUUAAGACAGGGAGUUCCUCUCAGUCCUACCUGGAGGUUCCAGGGAUAGAAUCUUCUACAUGCUCCACCACUGACAUGCAGACCUUCCCCUAAACAUAAGGACGAACGUCCUGAGAGUAAAGACCAUUUGGGCAGUGAAACAGACUCCCUUGGGAGGUAGUAGACUCUCAUUCAUUUGAUUUUUCUUAAGCAUAGGUUCAUCAUCAUGACCAUCUCUUAGCAAUGCAGUGGAUUUCCUGCACCAGCAGAGAGGUGGACUAGAUAACAUUUGUAGGUAAAAGGUAAAGGCCCCCUGGACGGUUAAGUCCAGUCAAAGGCAACUACAGUGGUACUUCGGGUUAGAGACGCUUCAGGUUACAGACUCUGCUAACCCAGAAAUAGUACCUCGGGUUAAGAACUUUGCUUCAGGAUGAGAACAGAAAUUGCGCGGCGGCAGCAGGAGGCCCCAUUAGCUAAAGUGGUACCUCAGGUUAAAAUCAGUUUCAGGUUAAGAACGAAUUAAGUUCUUAACCCGAGGUACCACUGUACAGUGUUACCUCGGUUUACGAACUUAAUCCAUUCCGGCAGUCCGUUCUUAAACCGAAACAGUUCUUAAACCGAGGCACACUUUCCCUAAUGAGGCCUCCUUCCACCAUUCGGAUUCCAUUCGUAGACCAAGGUAAAGUUCUAAAACCGGGACACUACUUCCAGUUUUGCAGAGUUGUUAAACCAAAUAGUUCUUAAACAGGACUGUUCUUAAAUCGAGGUACCACUGUAUGGGGUUGCGAUGCUCAUCUCGCUUUCAGGCCGAGGGAACCGGCGUUUGUCCACAGACAGCUUUCUGGGUCAUGUAGCCAGCAUGACUAAACCACUUCUGGCGCAACGGAACACCGUGACGGAAACCAGAGCUUGAGGAAACGCUGUUUACCUUCCCGCCGCAGCAGUACCUAUUUAUCUAUUUGCACUGGUGUAAUUUCAAACUGCUAGGUUGGCAGGAGCUGGGACAGAACAACGGGAGCUCACCCCAUUGUGGGGAUUCGAACCACUGACCUUCUGAUUGGCAAGCCCAAGAGGCUCAGUUGUUUAGACCACAGCGCCACCCUUCCAACUGUAUGAGUCUAUUACCUGACUACAAAGUCAUAAUUAAAUAUAAGAUCAUGUGCUGAAACUCAAGUUCUACUGCAUGCCCUGCGAUUUCAUAACUGAAGUCAGAUGCUCCAGAUCUACAUUUUAAAAUAAAAUCUUUAAACUAAUAAUUACCCCACUUCGACACUGACCUGUAAGUUUUCCCUUGUCUUAUUUAAGAGAAUAUAAGUACUUCUCCAGAGUGGCUUAGUUUAAUUUGUAUGAUAAUGAUUGCUGCAAAAUAGGUAUCAAAUGCAGACCUUACGCCAUCUGUAAUUAAUGGCUUCACGACAUGCUUUAACAUAAAGGUGAAGUUUAAGAGUCUCGUAUCUUACCUUGACCUAUUUUGGGCAGGUUUGGAAGCAAAUAAUUUGGGGGGCCAAAUGAAUGUAUCUCUUAUAGCCCUGAUGUAGCAAGAGGAAUCCAUAGCUGGAAGCAGGCUCCACCAGGCAGAUCUUUCUCUGGAUUUGGAAUUUUGUGCACACAUUUACACCCCUAUUAGAAGAGCAGAAUGGGGGGGGGGGACUGGAUCCAAGCAACAGCCUUGCUCAGUGGUUGCAGUGCUGCUGUUACAAUUGGCACUGCCCACAGAAAAACAGCUGCAGCCUGCCCAAAUGGAAAACGUGCAAAAUCCUUAUUAUUCUCGAUCAACUGUCAAAAUGCCAGUAAGUAUAGCAUGCGUCCUAAAUGUCUGUGUACUACAAAGAUAUGCACUCCAUCUCUGUGCCCUAGGAAUACAAUGACACCCCUUUGGAUGCCCCCCCCGACCCGUACAGAGCUUGUCUGAGGCCUGGGGCAGAAGUCUUGUUCGAAUAAAGUUCUAAACUCAAAACUGCAUAAGUCUGGCAGGUCCUUGAUGUGCCCUCCAGCCAACCUAGCCCUCUGAGGCCAGUGUACCUGGCUGCCCAACCCCAGCAUGGUACUGGGUGCCCCUAUUAAUGAGGCCUUGGUUAUCCAGUGUCAAGGGUACAGGGGAGGUUUUGCUCCUGUUGCAGCACUGCAUUUAAAGCCCUUCACGGCCUAGGACCCUCGUACCUAUGGGACCACCUCUCCUGGUAUGCCCCACAGAGGACCUUAAGCUCCAUAAAUAGCAACACCCUAAAGGUCCCGGGCCCUAAGGAGGUUAGAUUAGCCUCAACCAGAGCCAGGGCCUUUUCAACACUGGCUCCGGCCUGGUGGAACGCUCUGCCUCAUGAGACCAGGGCCCUGCGGGAUCUGAUUUCUUUCCGCAGGGCCUGUAAGACAGAGUUGUUCCACCUGGCCUUUGGCUUAGAAUCAAUUUGAUUCCCUCACCCUCUUUCUUUUUUCCUUUCUCCUCCUGUGAAGAGGAUGCAUCUUAAUGUUUUAAUGUUGUAUUUUAAUCUUGUUUUUUAAAUUGUAUUUUAAUCAACUUGUUUUUAUUAUUGGUUGUUAGCCGUAGAGCGCUUUGCUUGUUAGCGUAGAGUGCAUUGCAGUAGUCCAAGUGGGAGAUAACCAGAGCAUGCACCACUCUGGCGAGACAGUCCGCGGGCAGGUAGGGUCUCAGCCUUCGUACCAGAUGGAGCUGGCAGACAGCUGCCCUGGACACAGAAUUGUGCCACUCUAGGUGCUGUGGGUUAAACCACAGAGCCUAGGACUUGCCAAUCAGAAGGUCAGUGGUUCGAAUCCCCGUGACGGGAUGAGCUCCCAUUGCUCGGUCCCUGCUCCUGCCAACCUAGCAGUUCGAAAGCACGUCAAAGUGCAAGUAGAUAAAUAGGUACCGCUCCGGCGGGAAGGUAAACGGCGUUUCCGUGCGCUGCUCUGGUUUGCCAGAAGCGGCUUAGUCACGCUGGCCACAAGCUGUACACCGGCUCCCUCGGCCGAUAAAGCGAGAUGAGCGCCGCAACCCCAGAGUCAGUCAUGACUGGACCUAAUGGUCAGGGGUCCGUUUACCUUUAGGAUGUGCCCAGGUGCUUUAGGUUUGGGAUAUGGCCUCCCAGUUACUUGAUGGUCUACACACUUUCUCUUCCCAGUCUCUCUCCCCCUGCCCCCCAUCUCCUUCCCCACCUUGCCCUUUUCUGGAGCAUUUCGCUCAUUUGGUUUUGCCCUCUUACUGCACGGUUUUCUCCAGGUCCCAGACUUCUUUUGUCUGCCAGGUGUUGGCAACCCUGUGGCAUCAGCAGGUGUCUCGUCCUGCUUUAGGAUGCUGUUGACCCAGGGACCCUAAUUGUCAUCCCUGCCCAUAAUCUGGUGUCAACGUUUGUGUGAAGAAUACAAAGGACGCUAGAGAGAACCAUUUCCUUCUCUUUGCAGAUCUGAAAUGGAACAACUUGAAAUGAAGAGAUGGCUUUUUUCCCCCCAGAAGCACCGGCUUUGCUGAAACCAAUUAUCAAGGGCACUCUAUUCUCAAGAGUAUCUAAGUGUUUUCAGUGAAUAAGGGCCCCUUUUAUCUCUUAAGGAGUUUAAAAAAUAAAUAAAUGCAACACUUUUGAGAGC